GCACAGUAAUAGAGUAACACAAUAAUAAAAUAGAACAAUUAUAACAAUACGCCAGCGUCGCUUCUCUUCUGCUUUGGGGCCACUAUUCAUUCAAGUAAGGGUGACUUGAACCCAAGCACCAUAAUACCACUGCAGUCGAGCUGUUAACCAAGACGAAGUGACUAACGGGCAGGCCGUGUGGCUGAUUCACAUCCCAGGUGGGACGGAGCAGGAUGUGUAAGAUUUCAUUACGCUACUCAAAACGGCAUGCAACUUAACACUUAUAAAAUAUUUAUUUCUGGAAUUUUCCAUUUAAUAUUUUCAGACUGCAGUUGACAGCAGAUAACUGAAAGCUCGGAAAGCGAAACCGUGGAUAAGCAGGGGAACUGUGGCAUCCCAUUUAAAAUUGCUUCUGAAGAGAAGCAUGAGGUUACAUCUGUAAUCUCCCUGCAGCAGAGUCAACUGCAUAAGAAACCAAAAGACACACCUGCUCCAUGCCAGCCUAAGCCACCACAUAAAAAGUCAGACCAUCUGCUGGAAGAACCACAUGGAGAGGCCCUGAGUCGACAUGGAGAGGAAGAAGGACUUAACUGAAUCCAGCCUUCCAGCUGUCCCUACCAAGGUGCCAGGCACGAGAAUGAAGCUGUCUUGGACUCUGAAGACCAGCUUAGCCACCAGGUAAAUGCCACUAAGUGACCUCACUCAAUGUCAUGUGGGACGGAAGAAUCACCCCGCCAAACCCUUCCUGGAUCCCUGACCCAGAAAUUUGUCAGAUGUAAUGGUUGUGAAAAGCCACUCAAUUUGGGGGCAGUUUGUAUGCAGCAUAGCUAGCUGGUAUGAUACAACAGCCUGCAAUUCAGGCAGCAGCAGCACUAACAACGAUGAAAUCCUGCAGGAGCGAACUCCUUUGGGGU
rnacentral:antisense_RNA from 1 species